AUUGAACGCUGGCGGCAGGCCUAACACAUGCAAGUCGAACGAGUGGCGGAAGGGAGAGUAAUGUAUGGGCAAAUGCCUGAUGGAGGGGUAUAAGUACUGGAAACGGAAACCAAUACCGCAUAACAUGGGAUGUGCACAGAUGAGAUUAGCUAGUAGGUGGGGUAAAGGAUCACCUAGGCGACGAUCCCUAGCUGGUCUGAUAGCCUGACCAGCCACACGGGAACUGAGACACGGUCCAGACUCCUACGGUAGGCAGCAGUGUGGAAUAUUGCACAAUGGGCGCAAGCCGGAUGCAGCCAUGCCGCGUGUGUGAAGAAGGCCUUCGGGUUGUAAAGUACUUUCAGCGGGGAGGCGUUACCCGCAGAAGAAGCACCGGCUAACUCCGUGCCAGCAGCCGCGGUAAUAC
rnacentral:rRNA from 1 species